GUUAAAGUACUUGUAACCCAGUAGGGAAUUGGGUCCAAUUCUAUCUUUAUUUUUCUAUAGUUUCCUUAUUUAUCUAAUUUUCAUUUGUUAAUCAAUCUGUCAAUGACUUAUUUUACACACACAGUCCUUAUUUGUCAUAUCAACUAGAGCAAACUUAUGAUUGGUUAGAGGGAGUUAAGUCCCACCCUCUGUUUACGCAGAAGUCAGUGAGUUGCAGUGCGGGUAAAACAGCAGCGGUCGGAGUGGAUGAGAAAUAGAGAGUUAGAAGAGCGAUUAUUAACAUAUCCAUGAGAUAAAAUAGUCUUGUGAAGACGUCAGAGGUGUGCGAGGGUCCGUGAGCCAGGAGUAGUAGUACUUUUGGCAUUAUCGUCUUGGCUGGGUUUUUUUGAGAACAAGAGAACUGGAUCUGGAUUCUCCCUGUGGAUGGGAGAUGGCGAGCCCCCAGUGAGAUCUCUUCUUAACCUAAGGAGUGAGGAACCGAGACCUGAGAAGAGGACCUGGUAUCUUUUUUUGCUUCCACUCAAGUAUCAGUGUGGUAGGACCACCACACAUCCGACUACUUGAAUUUUUCCCCCUGACUUGACAUAAAACAUUGACUUGAGCGCGCUGACUGAUAUGGCAAAGACAUUAAAGGGACAUUACACUCUAAGUUCUGCUGAAAGACUGUGAAAUCUUGAGAUAUUGAUGAUAAUUGCACUGCAUUUUAUGUUCAUGUUUUAUAACUUGGUACAGUAAACUUACCUGAAACGUUCCUGGUGGCUCCAUUUACCUGUUUUGUCUGCCAUUCCCUUUUCAACCCUCCCAUUAUGAACCUAGCCCCUGGUCCAUAUAUUCUUUAUUCUUUACCCUGUAGCACCUAGUGGGUUACAUACUCAAUAACAGGUGGUGUGCCAUUGACAAGUUAAAGACUGAUGUGGCGAAAAUCUCAAUCAAGUGCGCCCUGUUCAGUGCGUUGGGACGUGCCCAGCGCACUUUAGUGGAUUCAUGGAAAUCUGGCCGGGCGCACCUGAACCGCAACUGGACAACUGGACAACCUGUGGAGAAAAAAAGAAGCGGAUGAAAGAAGGAAAUAGCAAAUAUUCAGGCUCUGAAUCUCCCAUCCCAGAUAGCAACUGACUCUGGACCGGGUCCGCCUCCAAACCGGCAGAUCCAUGUUACAGUCUCACCUGUUUUACAUCCCCGUGUCAGAUACGGACCGUAUACAGGCUGACGAGUGGGCGUGUCAAUCAGAUUCGCAAUCAGUCAGCAGAGUCAAAGUAGUUACGGGCCAGAACCAUAGAAACGAGCACACGAUUUUUUUUUUCUGUUUCCUUUUGUUCAGUCGUAUCAGACCAGACCAGGGAGAAGCAGGAGACCGUUGGCGGCUUUUCCUCCAGCCCUGGAAAAUUAUUUAUAAUCGUAAGGCGAACAAUGUUGUGGCAAAACAGUAUUUAAAGUGGUUUAAUGCUUCUAAACAUAAUUUCAGAAGGUUUUGACUUCCCAUUUAAGCUUGCUAAUAAUAUUAUAUCGGCAACGGCUAGCUUUUUAGCCGGGCUAGCUUACUUAACUAGCUAAGUUAGUUAGAAUUAAUAAUGAAUAAACAACUCUGUGUUUGUUAUUAGUGAUGUUACAACCAAUGUUGCCCACAACUUGCUUUUCAUCCGCAUCUUACUAUCUGUUAACGUUACGUUAGCUGCUCAUAGGAAUGUAGCCAGUAGCAUAUAGGCUAACGGUUAACCUUAAGGCAAACUGCUAACGCUAGUUUGAAACAGCACCAUUUGACAGCACAACCUGUCUCUAUUUCAGGUUCAGGUUCCCCCAGAAGUUUUUUUUUUUUUCCUGCUUUGAUUUCCCCAUCAUUACAGUAAUUUUCAAAUCCAGGCUAUAAGUUAGUUAAAGUUUUGUAAUCUUAUUGGAUAAGUAACGUAAAGAAGUUAAAAAUUUCAUCUUAAGUUAGCUGUAAUUCAUUGUAUGAUCGCUGUGUAAUAAGUUGUGUAAUGCGCUGCAAUAUGUAUUACCACUGAAAAGCAUAUUGUAUUUGGUUGUUCAUUUAGUUGUUGUGACUAGCUAAGAGAGAGGUUCACUCACCUCUGUACUUGUAACGUUAGUCAAUUUGUUCGUGGUGUUGUGUUGAAUUGCUCUGGCACAGACUGAACAAAAAUUGAACUUCAUGGCCACUGGUUUCACAGCAGUAACCUGCGUGUGGCGAUUCUGAUGUGAACACAGUGUAAAUGCAUUAUGUUACUCAUAAACUUACAGUACAUGACAUUUUAAGCUUAAGUACAGUUGAUCGGUGUGCAAUACUGAGCAUUUUGAAAUUUGAAUGGAGUUUGUACUGUAUACAGGUGCUGUUAUAAAUACAAUGGGACUGAAUGGGCCUCCGUGGACAUUAAUACAUUAUAUAAUUCACAAACUACACGUCAUCUUUAUGAGCUCAAGUAGAGUUAAAUAGUGUGCAAUAAUGAGUAUUUUGAAAUUUGAAUGGAGUUGGUAACAAAUAACAAAUUUCAUAUUUAGGCUAAGCUUUUUAUUACCAAGUGUUUUCUGUCACAUGUCUGUCAGGGGUUAGUGAAAUUUUACAGAUUAAGUUAUGUAAAACUGUGAUGAGGUUCAUGAUAUAUUAGUACACUGAGAUAGCUGGUAGAGGUAGCUUGUUCUUUUUAAUUUGCCCCACCUUUUGUCUUGUUUCUGCCAGCUUUGCACAUACAACCAUUUGGGGUUGGUUUCACAAACAAAUAGUUUGACUAUGGCUUAGAGCAAACUAAUAGUCACACUUCAGAUAGACUUCUAAAUUCAUAUGUUGCACAAAGCUGUCUAGUUCUUAAUUGUUUUAAGAUGGACUAAUUUGCUAUUGAAUCUGGGUAAAUUUAGACUUUUUUGAAACUAAAUAACAUGACUGAUUAUUGAGCAACCCUGUCAAACCACUCAGCUCUGUUCACUCCAGUAGAAAAUAUUUGUCUUCUGGAAGAAUUUAAAGUUACAAGGACAAUUGACUGUGAAAAUUCUGUGAAGAUUGCAACAAUACAAAAAACUUACAGUAGCAUAAAGUCUCAAGGCAGUGUAAAUCCGUAGCAGAGGUGAGCUGCUGUGGCUUCUUAAUGUGGCAGGGAUCAGAACCUCUUCCAACUCGCCAGACUCAGGAUAGUUUUCAAAUGAAAAUGACUGAUGAUGUCCACACUGCUGUAUAUUUCCAACAGGUUACUAAACUCUCUAAAAACUCUUUCCCUCCUCAUUGGUCACUUCACAAAAAUGUUAACAAACCAAAAUUUAUGACACAUAUUUUCCUCUUUUUUGUCAUGUGGUGCCACUGGUCAGAAGUUGUCACUGAUUGUUACCAUGGAAACACUAGUCUGUUACCAUGGGUCUUAGUUCUGAGUUAGCCUUGGGAUAGGGUGUAGGGGUGUGCCCAAAUAAAAAUACAUUAUUCGGCAAAGCACAAAUAGUGUUUUCUUUGUUUGUUUGUUUUUGGUUUUGUUUUUAACGAAUAUUUGUUUCAUACAAAUAUUUUAAAACAUGUCAAAUAUAAGCAGCCUUAAAGGUCUUUAUUUUUGGAAAACUGUCUAGCUUACCAUCAGACCACAUGAGACCAAUGUGAAACUAGAGGUCUAUAAGUUACAUAUUGGUUGUAUAUUGUAGAGCUUUUUUACUUUUUCCAUAUUUUUUUUGAUCACUUAUUUGAAUCUUCAGUUCAUUUUCAAAAGCUUGUUGUAGGGGACCUUACAGUAAAAUAUUUUUUUGGCAUAAUCAUAUUGGUCUGUAGACAAUACUGUAAUUCUGGAGGUGAUAUCAGAUUCAAUAUGUUGGUGAAUGUCAACAAAUAUUUUUACUAUUAGUCACUAUUGGUUCUUUUUUGUCAAAUAAUCUUUUUUAGAGACAAGAUGAAAAGGAGGCAACCUCCAUUAACAAGCUCUGGAGUCAGGCGGAGGGCCCGCUUAUCAGGGGUCAAUGGGAAAAAGUGCUUCAAAGAAAUGGGCACAAGAAGUCUGUUGAUCAGGGCUGUAAGGAAGCCAACCAAGCUGCUAGCAGUGCUCCAGACAGUGAGAUCGACUCAUACGCUAUCAGAUGGUUUAACUUGGCAUCUGACUGGGGAGGUGGCCGCAAAGACCAUGCCAAGGCUAAAGAGACAUUAACCACGGCAUCACAACAUUCCACCGAGCAGCAGUGGCUGACUUCAUAAAGCUAAAGAAGUGGCAUGAGGAAGUGGAAGUGACAGCAGGCAGUGGGAGAGGUCACAUGGGUGGAGAUAUGUUUGGGAUUCAGUUAAACUUAAUUAUUUUAAGUUUUGUUGUUUUUUUUGUUUGUUUUUUUGGGGGGGGGGGGUGGGGGUCACAGUUAGUUUGGUUGUGAAUAAUGUUGGUUCAAAUCUUUGUUGCUAUUAAGGUUAAGGUUGUUAGUUAAUUGUUUAUUCCUGCCAACCCGGUUGAGUUCAUUAUGCUGUUUUACUUUUCUCGAGUGAUCUUUGUAUUUUGAAUUUGAAUUUUAAGAUUAAAUUAAAUUGUAAAUAAAUAACAAUGUUUUAUGCUACACACCUGGUGUUCUUG